rnacentral:lncRNA from 1 species
AAACUUGUUCAUCGUUUUUGCAAAAAGGCAACUUUGAAUUCCAGUUUGGACUCGGGUAAUAUUCUCUUGUUUCCUCAUUCAAAAGUGUGCUGAAAAUACUGUGCAUGUGUGAAUUCAAGAAUAACCAGGGAGUGGGCGAGGUCGAGGUUUGAAUUAUCCUGGUAAAAACAUACUUUUUCCCAUUUGUCUAAACAUCUUGAAUCCACU